rnacentral:rRNA from 1 species
AUACGGAGGGUCCAAGCGUUAUCCGGAAUCAUUGGGUUUAAAGGGUCCGCAGGCGGUCAAUUAAGUCAGAGGUGAAAGCCCAUCGCUCAACGAUGGAACUGCCUUUGAUACUCGUUGACUUGAGUUAUACGGAAGUAGAUAGAAUAAGUAGUGUAGCGGUGAAAUGCAUAGAUAUUACUUAGAAUACCGAUUGCGAAGGCAGUCUACUACGUAUAUACUGACGCUGAGGGACGAAAGCGUGGGGAGCGAACAGGAUUAGAAACCCUAGUAGUCC